GGGGUUGUGGCUCAGUGGUAGAGUGCCUGCCUAGCAUGCACGAGGCAAUGGGUUUGACCCUCAGCACCA
rnacentral:tRNA from 1 species